AUCAUGCAGUCGAGCGGACAGAAGGGAGCUUGCUCCCGGAUGUUAGCGGCGGACGGGUGAGUAACACGUGGGUAACCUGCCUGUAAGACUGGGAUAACUCCGGGAAACCGGAGCUAAUACCGGAUAGUUCCUUGAACCGCAUGGUUCAAGGAUGAAAGACGGUUUCGGCUGUCACUUACAGAUGGACCCGCGGCGCAUUAGCUAGUUGGUGAGGUAACGGCUCACCAAGGCGACGAUGCGUAGCCGACCUGAGAGGGUGAUCGGCCACACUGGGACUGAGACACGGCCCAGACUCCUACGGGAGGCAGCAGUAGGGAAUCUUCCGCAAUGGACGAAAGUCUGACGGAGCAACGCCGCGUGAGUGAUGAAGGUUUUCGGAUCGUAAAGCUCUGUUGUUAGGGAAGAACAAGUGCAAGAGUAACUGCUUGCACCUUGACGGUACCUAACCAGAAAGCCACGGCUAACUACGUGCCAGCAGCCGCGGUAAUACGUAGGUGGCAAGCGUUGUCCGGAAUUAUUGGGCGUAAAGGGCUCGCAGGCGGUUUCUUAAGUCUGAUGUGAAAGCCCCCGGCUCAACCGGGGAGGGUCAUUGGAAACUGGGAAACUUGAGUGCAGAAGAGGAGAGUGGAAUUCCACGUGUAGCGGUGAAAUGCGUAGAGAUGUGGAGGAACACCAGUGGCGAAAGCGACUCUCUGGUCUGUAACUGACGCUGAGGAGCGAAAGCGUGGGGAGCGAACAGGAUUAGAUACCCUGUAGU
rnacentral:rRNA from 1 species